AGUAGCCGUUGGGCAGGACCCUUUAGCACCGGUUCGUGUUACAAACUGGUGCUAAAGGGGUCUUUAACCCCGGGCCGCAAAAAGACCGAGGUUUUUGGCUAUUUUGGACAUCGACCAAUACCUCAUUCCGUAGUGAUGGUGUUUUGCCAUGGGGGUGAGCACCAUGAUGACAACUAAGCAGCAGUGUUGUCCGAUAGGCUUGGCAGGCUCCACAACAAGCAGCGGCGAUGGGCUCAGCGAUUGGGCUCAAGAAUGGGCUUGGGCUUGCCUUUGGGCAUUUUGCUUUUUUUUUUUGUUUUUCUAAUAUCAUUUACAGUGGUGGGUGUCCCAACCGCCUCUAAAGAUUGAUCAAUAGAGGUGUGUGCUGUUGGAGGUGGAGGCGUUGCCCGCUUAUGUAAAUGUUUUUGACCAUCCAUGGAAUGAUGGAAACGCUUAUAUUAGUAGUGCUUGCCAUCCCCUUUCAUGUGAAACAGGACCACAAACCAUUCAGUUAGGCGAUGGAAGGAAGGUUUGUCUCCAUUCCAAGGUAGUGCCGAUGGUGUGCAUAAGGUUGCUGUUGCUCGGCUACUCACGUUCUUCACCAGCAGAGGACAUCUAAGUAUUCCUUGGACGGUAAACUCAUGUAUAUAUCCACCUGUCUCUACAAUUGUGUGUACAUAUAUCAGAUCUACAUGCUUAUGUUAUGAUUAGAUUCAAACAAAUUUCCAUGGCAACCCCUAUGAUCCUUACAGAGGCAAAGUCAACUGAAACAUGGGCAUGUGUUGUGUACGUGCUGAACCGGUCUCUCCUCUGGGUUGGUAUGUAAAGAUCAAAGUCAGCAAGAAUGAUCUAGGACGAUAUCAUCAGAACCGAGCUCCCCGUGAAAUGCAAUCCGCCACUCGGUUUCUAUCAGUGUCGGUGCGAUACUACGAAUUCUUUUGGUGUAUAGAGCAAAGUCAGCAAGAACGAUCAAAGAGUAUGUUUGAAUGGGCUCGUAUGUGAAGGCACCACUCACCAGCAAGAAUUGAUAAUGAUACUCUAGAAAACAACAACUAACUAAUAACUGUAGUCUUUUUGGAGUUUUAGAAACUCUACUCAUGACAUUUUUUUUUAACUAUGGUUUUGUGUCUCUUAGGCUUACAAAACUAAAGUUUUGUAAUAACAUAAUUUCCAAAAACUAUAUCACUCAUACAGGC
rnacentral:lncRNA from 1 species